rnacentral:rRNA from 1 species
CCUACGGGGGGCAGCAGUGGGGAAUAUUGCGCAAUGGGCGAAAGCCUGACGCAGCCACGCCGCGUGAGCGAUGAAGGCCUUCGGGUCGUAAAGCUCUGUGGGGAGAGAAGAAUAAAGCCUGUGAAGAGCGGGCCUUGACGGUAUCUCCUUAGCAAGCACCGGCUAACUCCGUGCCAGCAGCCGCGGUAAUACGGAGGGUGCAAACGUUGCUCGGAAUCAGUGGACGUAAAGCGCGAAUAGGGGUGGGAGUGAAAGCCCCGGGCUCAACCCGGGAAGUGCAUUCAAAACUGUUUCGCUUGAAUCUCGGAGGGGGUCAGAGAAUUCCCGGUGUAGAGGUGAAAUUCGUAGAUAUCGGGAGGAAUACCAGUGGCGAAGGCGCUGACCUGGACGAAGAUUGACGCUGAGGUGCGAAAGCGCGGGGAGCAAACAGGAUUAGAUACCCGUGUAGUC